CAGACUGCUGUCAUGCCGGCUGGCUAGGCUGCUCUGGAACCUGGGAUAUUGUAAUAGUUGCAGAAAUGAAGUAACAUCCAUGGAUAUGCAUAAAGGUCAAAACUCUGUGGAGUUUACUCCUAGAGUAGAAGAAUUAUCUGAUGUUCUUUUCCUCUGGCUGGGCUUCCUGUGAAGAUUCCUUUGUAACACAUUUUCUCAAUUAAAAGAGGAGAGAGAGUGGGAGCUUAUGGGCCAGCUGGACUACACUCUACAGAGCUGCUUGGUUUCCUUGGAAUUCCCCCAGAGAUUUCAUCCAGUGGUUCUCUUCUUCCUUCGUGUUUUCAACAUUCAGCAUUCUUCAUCUAAUCCAUAGAAAUGUUAUGAUACAUGUCAUUAGAUAGUCCAGGUGGCUUCUUGGCUUCUCCAACGCUGUUCUUUUGGUCAUUUCUUUGGGUUUCUCAACCAACAUCUGUCCACACCACCUUAGAUCUUACUAUAGGAAGCCAUGACAUUUUUCAGCAUCUUCCUUUGCCUUUGCUCCUAUGGUCUCUGAGGUACAUCUUUUAAGAAAUCUAUAUUGUGUGUGAAUUUGACAUCAAUACUGUAACAUGGCUAGACCUCUGGGAGUUUCUGUCCUUAAUCUGUGCUUUCAGUUUUACAACUUCCUGUCAUCCUCAAAAUAAUAUCAUGAUCAUUGUUACCCAGAAGUUUCCCAGAUAUGUUAUCAAAAGACCUUACUUCUCCUGGGCCCUUUGCUCCUGAUGGACAUGUCUCUGCUUUACAUUCUCUGUCAGAAUUGAAGAUGGUAUGUGUUGGCUUGGUUUUUGGCUGGCUCUCUGCAAUCUCCAGAGCUUUGUGAACCAGCUUUUCUGACAUGCCUUUUGGUUGCCGAAUAGUCAUGACUGUCUUCAACACACUUGCCUUGAACAUUUAUACCUAAUGGAUUUUACAAAGUAAAAUAUCUGAAAUGCUUUCCUUGGCUUCUUUCUAGAAAAGAGAUGUGCAGUUGCGUAAAUCAUGCCUUUCGUCCUCUGAAGCAUCAUCUAUCCUCUGGGUGUUAUGGUAACUACCAUCGUCAAAGCCUACAUUGCAUAGAGCCUUAAGACUUUCCUGUAUUUUAAAGGCAAAAGAGAGGAAGUGAGGUAUCUACUUUCCUCUUCUGAAAUGUGUUUAGACAUCACUGUAUGACCAUGACUCUGGGAAAUGAAUUGUCAAAUAUACAAGAAAAUCUUGCAUAACCAUGUUCAUUGAUAUACCAGUCAAAAGAGUCAUAAUCUGGAAUUAUCUUGGGGUCAACAGCAGCAAAGUAGAUGAACCAAAAUGCUUCACAUGUACAACAGAACUUUCUGUAUCUAUAAAGAAAAAUAUAGUUGUGACCUUGGCAGGAAAACAAA